UACGUAGGGGGCAAGCGUUGUCCAGAUUUAUUGGGCGUAAAGAGCGUGUAGGCGGCCAGGUAGGUCCGUUGUGAAAACUGGAGGCUUAACCUCCAGCUGUCGAUGGAAACCAUCUGGCUAGAGUCCGGAAGAGGAGAGUGGAAUUCCUGGUGUAGCGGUGAAAUGCGCAGAUAUCAGGAAGAACACCCGUGGCGAAGGCGGCUCUCUGGGACGGUACUGACGCUGAGGCGCGAAAGCGUGGGGAGCAAACAGG
rnacentral:rRNA from 1 species